rnacentral:rRNA from 1 species
UACAGAGGUCUCAAGCGUUGUUCGGAUUCAUUGGGCGUAAAGGGUGUGUAGGUGGCGCGCUAAGUCGGGUGUGAAAUUUCGGAGCUUAACUCCGAAACUGCAUUCGAUACUGGCGUGCUUGAGGACUGGAGAGGAGACUGGAAUUCAUGGUGUAGCAGUGAAAUGCGUAGAGAUCAUGAGGAAGACCAGUGGCGAAGGCGGCUCACUGGCCCGGUACUGACGCUGAGGCACGAAAGCGUGGGGAGCAAACAGG